rnacentral:lncRNA from 1 species
AGAGAGAGAGAGAGAGAGAGAUCCAUUCUCUUGUUAAUGUUCCACUUGAGAACCCUAACUAAAAUAAAAAGUGGUAUCAGGAAUGGAAUACUGCUUUGACAGACCUGAGUAGGUUUCAGGGUAGAUUGCAGUGGCAUUUGACAUUUAGGCUGAAAAAGAAGGUGAUGGUUAAGAGCAGAGAGGACUAUUGUAUGGGAACUUGGACUGUAAAAUUGUUGAGAGUUGGGAAGACAAUAACUCUGUCCAACUUUUGAAGUUUCAGAGGGAAGAGAGAAUAUUCAGCCUUUACAAACCUGUUUUAAGUUAAAAUAUGAAUUAAGACUUUGUGGUUCUGAUGAGUUGGAGCUGAAAAUAUGGCUGUGGUUCUCAAGAGACCAGUAGCACUAAAAGAAAAACUUUGCUUUGCUGGGAAAAUUGAUAUUGGAUACUUGUCAUGGGAUAGGUACAAUGUAGGUGGUUCUUUGUCCUUGAAGAGAGUCCAGGAGAGGCUAUCGGUGAAGAUGCAGUGCAUUGCUAUAGGAUAACCAAGGGUUUUUGGAAAUGCCAGUCCAGAGGGACAAUCCACCAGGAGUUUUAUGUUUGUUUAAAGUGCAUCUUUGAGCCCUUGGUCCUGUGAAGGCUCAUUUCUCCAGUGUAACAGAAUGCCAGGGCAUUGAGAUGGGAGUGGCAGCAUCUUCAAGGAAGCAGGGAGAGGAGGAAGGGGGAUAACAUUUGAAAUGUAAAUGCAUAAAAUAUCCAAUAAAAAUAAAAUAAAAUGCUUCUUUGAUCU